rnacentral:rRNA from 1 species
UACGUAGGGGGCAAGCGUUGUCCGGAUUUAUUGGGCGUAAAGAGCGUGUAGGCGGCCAAGCAGGUCCGCUGUGAAAACUCGAGGCUCAACCUCGAGACGCCGGUGGAAACCAUCAGGCUAGAGUCCGGAAGAGGAGAGUGGAAUUCCUGGUGUAGCGGUGAAAUGCGCAGAUAUCAGGAAGAACACCCGUGGCUAAGGCGGCUCUCUAGUACGGUACUGACGCUGAGACGCGAAAGCGUGGGGAGCGAACAGG